rnacentral:rRNA from 1 species
AUGCAACCUGUGUUGUACCUCUGCCUAUUGCUCAUGCCCUGCCUAUUUCUCGUGGAAGAAGCACACGCGGCGCGCCAUGGAGGGAUCUCACUGAGGUCCCAACACAUUGCCCUCCUCCACUGGAAAGCUACACUUGCAAGCCCACCGGUGCAGAUGAGCUCUUGGCAGGAAAACAACACCCCCUGCAACUGGACGGGCAUCGUGUGCACAGCUGUUCGCCAUGGCCGCCGCAUGCCCAGGGUAGUUACCGACAUCUCCCUGCCGGAUGCUGGCAUCAGGGGCCAGCUUGGUGAGCUCAACUUCUCAGCUCUUCCAUUCCUCACAUAUAUUGACCUCACCAACAACAGUCUCCAUGGUGCACUACCAGCUAGUAUCAGCUGCCUGUCAUCACUUUUGGAACUCUACCUUCCCUACAACCAGCUCACAUGGAAAAUUCCCGAUGAGAUUGGUGGCCUGCAAAGUCUGAGGGUGCUUGAGCUCUCAUUUAACAGACUCACAGGACAUAUUCCUGCGUCUCUGGGCAACCUAACAAUGUUAACUGAUCUCGCCAUUCACCAAACCAUGGUAUCAGGUCCCAUUCCUGAGGAGAUUGGAAGGCUUGUCAACCUGCAAAUUCUACAGCUAAGCAAUAGCAUCUUAAGCGGCAUAAUACCAAAAACCCUUGGAAAUCUGAGCCGGCUAAAUACUUUGUACCUAUAUGGUAAUCAACUUUCAGGUCCUAUACCACAAGAACUAGGCACGCUAGUACGUUUGCAAAUUCUUGAGCUUAGUUCAAAUAAUUUUUCAGGUCCAAUUCCAAUAUCCAUAACCAAUCUCACUAAGAUGAACCAACUUUUUCUCUUUGAAAAUCAAAUCACAGGUUCAAUACCCCCAGAACUAGGCAAACUCGCUAAGCUAAACCAACUUGUUCUCUACAAAAAUCAAAUAACAGGUUCAAUACCCCCAGAACUAGGGAACCUCGCUAUUCUAGACCAACUUGAACUCUAUAGUAAUCAAAUAACUGGUUCAAUACUCCCAGAACUAGGGAAUCUCACUGUGCUUAAUGAACUUUCUCUCUAUGCAAAUCAAAUCACAGGUCCAAUACCUCCAGAACUAGGAAACCUCACUAUGCUCAAUGUACUUUAUCUCUAUACAAACGAAAUCACAGGCGCGAUACCUUUAGAAAUUGGCAAUCUGAUGAACCUCAAAUAUUUAUACUUGUUUCAGAAUCAAAUUUCGGGCUCAAUACCUAGAACUUUUGGGAAGUUGCAAAGCAUGCAAGAACUGCUAGUCUUUGAUAACAACUUAUCAGGUUCUCUUCCUCAAGAAUUUGAAGAUCUCAUCAGCCUUGUUACACUUGAGUUGUCUAACAACUCAUUUUCAGGACCUUUACCCGCAAAUAUUUGUUCAGGUGGGAAACUUCAAUAUCUCAUUGCCUUCUCUAAUAUGUUCAAUGGCCCCAUUCCAAGGAGUUUAAAGACAUGUACGAGUUUGGUUGAAAUUGACCUUCAAUCGAACCGUCUAACAGGGGAUAUAUCUCAACACUUUGGUGUGUAUCCACAACUCAUAAAGAUGAUCUUGAAAUCGAAUAGACUCUCUGGGCACAUCUCACCAAAUAUAGGUGCAUGUACCCAACUAACGGUGCUACGUCUAGCACAAAAUAUGAUCACGGGUUCCAUACCUCCAGUCAUUUCGAAAUUGUCCAACCUAGAACAACUAAGACUCGAUUCUAAUCAUCUCAGCGGUGAGAUUCCACCAGAAAUCUGCACUUUAGCAAAUCUAUAUAGCCUUAACUUAUCAUCAAACCAAUUAUCUGGAUCCAUACCUACACAGGUAGAAAAGCUAAGCAAUCUAGGAUACCUUGAUAUAUCUGGGAACAUACUGAGUGGAUUAAUACCCGAGGAACUAGGAGCAUGCAUGAAACUACAGUCCCUGAAGAUCAACAACAACAACUUCGGUGGGAGCUUGCCUGGUGCGAUUGGAAAUUUAGCAGGCUUGCAGAUCAUGUUAGAUGUGAGCAACAAUAACCUCAGUGGUGUGUUGCCCCAACAACUUGGGAAGUUGCAGAUGCUAGAAUUUCUGAAUUUAUCACAUAAUCAGUUCAGUGGCAGCAUUCCAUCCUCCUUCACAGGCAUGGUGAGCCUGUCAACACUCGAUGUGUCCUACAACGGCUUGGAAGGACUGGUGCCAACAACACGGCUACUCCAAAAUGCUUCAGCAAGUUGGUUUCUUCCCAAUAAGGGUCUGUGUGGUAACCUCUCUGGCCUGCCACCUUGUUAUUCAACCCAAGUAGCUGUAGCUGGCCACCACAAGAAGAAGACACUUGGUUUGCUUUUGCCAAUUGUUCUUGUUGCGGGUCUCAGCAUUAUUGUUGCAAUUGUUGUCAUAAUAAUGCUCAGUCGUAACAAGAAAAAACCCCAAGAAAGUGUCACUAUUGAAGGAAGGGACCUAUUCUAUAUUUGGAAUUUUGAUGGAAGGUUAGCAUUUGAAGAUAUUGUAAGGGCAACAGAAGACUUCGAUGAUAAGUACAUCAUUGGAACAGGAGGAUAUGGCAAAGUGUACAAGGCACAACUCCAAGAUGGGCAGCUAGUUGCUGUGAAGAAGCUUCACCAGACCCAAGAAGAGUUGGAUGACGAAAGAAGAUUUCGUCGUGAAAUGGAAAUCUUAUCACAGAUCAGACAACGAAGCAUUGUCAAAAUGUAUGGAUUCUGUUCCCACCCAGCAUAUAAAUUUCUCAUCUAUGACUACAUUAAGCAGGGAAGCCUCCACAUGACAUUGGAAAAUGAAGAGCUAGCAAAGGAAUUAGAUUGGCAGAAGAGAAUUGCUCUGGCAACUGAUGUGGCUCAGGCAAUAUCUUAUUUGCACCACGAAUGCAGUCCACCAAUAAUCCAUAGAGAUAUCACAAGCAACAACAUCUUACUUGAUACAAUCUUCAAGGCUUUUGUCUCGGAUUUUGGCACUGCAAGGAUUCUUAAGCCCGAUUCAUCAAACUGGAGUGCACUAGCAGGAACAUAUGGCUACAUAGCUCCUGAACUCUCGUACACAUCUGUUGUGACGGAAAAAUGUGAUGUAUAUAGCUUUGGUGUGGUUAUGCUAGAGCUAGUGAUGGGGAAGCAUCCAAGGGAUCUAUUAGACGGUAGUUUGUCAAGCGGGGAACACGCUAUGCUGGUAAAAGAUAUUCUAGACCAACGGCCGACAACACCAACAGCAACAGAAGAGAAUAGCUUAGCUCUGCUCAUCAAGCUGGCCUUUUCUUGCUUGGAAUCUUCUCCACAAGCAAGGGCAACCAUGCGGGAGGCAUACCAAACACUCAUCCAGCGACCCUCUUCUAGCUCCUGCCCCAUGCCUUUCAGCGCACUUACAUUACAGCAAGGGAGUGAUGCAUGUUGA